rnacentral:rRNA from 1 species
GACGAACGCUGGCGGCGUGCCUAAUACAUGCAAGUCGAGCGACGAACCAGGGCUUUCCCUGGUGCAAAGCUGCGAACGGGCGAGUAACUCGUGCGUAACUUACCCCGAUAACCGGCACAACUCAAGGAAACUCGGGCUAAUACCGGACGUGCACACUGUUCUUCGGCUCAGUGCGUAAAUGAAGCUCCGGCUUCCGGAUCCUGAUGGGCGCCGGGCCCCUUAGUUUGUUGGUGAGGUAAAUGCCCACCAACACCGCGAUGGGUAGCUGGCCUGCGAGGACGAUCCGCCCAACUGGGACUGGGGACCGGCCCAGGCUCCUAAGGGGGGGAGCCGUGGGGAAUUCUGCGGAAUGCGGGAAAGGGUGACGCAGCAAAGCCGCGUGGGGGAAGAAGGCCUUCGGGUUGUAAACCCCUUUCAGGAGGGACGAAGGUUCGGCGGUGAAUAGCCGCACGGACUGACAGUACCUACACAAGAAGCCACGGCUAACUACGUG